UGGACAGCAUCAUUCAGAAAUACAGAGACAGGCCCGGUAAAGGCACAAAGGCUGAAGAGACUUUGCAGACCUUCAUGAAACAGAAGAAAGAAAUGGAGUCAUGUAUUCUUGUGGCAGACAAAAAUUUGACGAAACAGGAAAAGAAACUAGCAGAGGAGAAAGCGCGUGCUGAGCUGGAGAAGUUUAAAGCAGAGGCAGCCAAGAAAAAACAAGAAAUCCUUGACCAAAGACUCUUAGACGUACAAAAGGCACACAAGGAAAAUAUACAGCAAUUAGAGGAAAAAAUGGAGAAGGAACGCAAGGCAAUGAUUGAAGAAAAUGAAAGGAUUCUUGAAAGGAGACUUGUGGAACAGAAAGCUUUACUCGAGGAGGGGUUUGAAAAGGAGGCCAAUUUGUUGAAUGCUGCUAUUGAGGAUUUAAAGAAUAAGGUCACAUUUCUGAAGUAUUUUUUCAUAAAACAUACUCCUCCAAAGCAAGACACC
rnacentral:lncRNA from 1 species